rnacentral:rRNA from 1 species
GACAGAGGGUGCUAGCGUUAUUCGGAAUUACUGGGCGUAAAGGGCGCGUAGGCGGUUCUGUAAGUCAGAUAUGAAAUACCGAGGCUCAACCUCGGUGCUGUAUUUGAUACUGCAUGAACUAGAGUAUGGGAGAGGUAAAUGGAAUUCCUAGUGGAGAGGUAAUAUUCGUAGAUAUUAGGAGGAACACCAGAAGCGAAGGCGAUUUACUGGAACAUUACUGACGCUGAGGCGCGAAAGCGUGGGGAGCAAACAGG